AGCUCCAAUAGCGUAUAUUAAAGUUGUUGUGGUUAAAAAGCUCGUAGUUGGAUUUCGGCGGGUAUUGGUCGGUUUGAAUUGCUUCAAUACUGACUUUUUUACCCGUGUGUUUUGCCAGAAUUUAACGGGUGAUCUUCGCCGAUUGUCUGUUAGAACUGGCAGGUUUACUUUGAAAAAAUUAGAGUGCUCAAAGCAAGCUUGAUUGCUUGAAUAUUCGUGCAUGGAAUAAUAGAAUAGGAAGUCGUUUCUAUUUUGUUGGUUUUCGGAAAUCGACUUAAUGAUUAAUAGGGACAGUCGGGGGCAUUUGUAUUCAAACGACAGAGGUGAAAUUCUUGGACCGUUUGAAGACAAACUACUGCGAAAGCAUUUGCCAAGAAUGUUUUCAUUA
rnacentral:rRNA from 1 species